UCCCUAGAGGACUAGUGGUUAGGCCUUGGUGUGCUCACCGCCACGGCCUGUGUUUGAUUCCUGGCCAGGGAA